rnacentral:lncRNA from 1 species
CUGUUAGCUUUAUGUGGUCCAGGGGGAGGAAGGAUACCUUAGAAACUGUCAGAAAAGCUCAUUUCAUACUUCAUUUUUCAUCAUGUUAUUUUGUUGCAUGAGACAUUUGUCCAACUGCGUAGGGAAUGAAAAUUCAAAUUAUUUCUGCCACUGAUUGGGGGAUGGAAUUCCAAACGUUGUAAAAGGCGACUGUAUCUAGUGAUUAUUUAUGGCUGAUGGGAAGAGCUGGUUGUGGUAUAGUGUCAGCAGCGUAUGAUCGGUUGGUUCAUCAAAUCUGUCCUUCGUUGAUUAGUUUUUUUGUUUUGUUUUGCAGAUGCAGUUGAAGACCCAAGAUUUGAACGACGCUAUUGUCACACCGAAAGUGUGUUCGAUGAAAUGCCUCCAACAUUCGGAGGUUUUUAUUUGUGAAAGUUUGCAGGCUAAGACAAAUGAUAGCUAUUCAAGGAGCAAGAGGCUGCUCAACAUAAAGCAUCAACAGCAACCUCUGGAACAGCUGAAAAUGCUCUACUGGAAGAUAAGUCAGUGACUGAUCUUAAAUCUAAAGAUUUGGAGAAGAAAAGGGAGCUUUGUUCACUGAUACAAGAAGUUGGAGUGCUUUUGUGAAGGCUUUUGCGAAUCACUUGAAGUGUUAGUACUUUUGUGAAUGAUUUUGUAAAGUGUUUGCAAAUAUGUGCAAAACAUAAUAACAUGUGUUUUUUUUGUGAAUGAUUUUGUUGUGGUG